rnacentral:rRNA from 1 species
UACGGAGGAUCCAAGCGUUAUCCGGAUUUAUUGGGUUUAAAGGGUGCGUAGGCGGCUUAUUAAGUCAGGGGUGAAAGACGGUGGCUCAACCAUCGCAGUGCCUUUGAUACUGAUGAGCUUGAAUAUACUAGAGGUAGGCGGAAUGUGACAAGUAGCGGUGAAAUGCAUAGAUAUGUCACAGAACACCAAUUGCGAAGGCAGCUUACUAUGGUUUUAUUGACACUGAGGCACGAAAGCGUGGGGAUCAAACAGG